AUAUCAGUCAUGCAUAGCAUAUCAAUAAGCGGAGGAAAAGAAACUAACAAGGAUUCCCUUAGUAACGGCGAGUGAAGCGGGAAGAGCUCAAAUUUGAAAUCUUCAAGGUUCUACCUUGACGAAUUGUAGUUUAUAGAAGUGUUUUCUGUUAGUAGAGUGGCAAAAGUUCUUUGGAAUAGGACAUCAUAGAGGGUGAGAAUCCCGUAUUUGGUCAUUCCUUCCUAGCGUUGUGAUACACUUUCAAAGAGUCGGAUUGUUUGGGAAUGCAGUCCAAAAUGGGUGGUAAAUUUCAUCUAAAGCUAAAUAUUGGCGAGAGACCGAUAGCGAACAAGUACCGUGAGGGAAGAUGAAAAGAACUUUGAAAAGAGAGUUAAACAGUACGUGAAAUUGUCAAAAGGGAAGCGUUUGACACCAGUGUUGUUUUUCCGAAAAUCAAUUACGAAUGUUUUGUUUUUGAGGAGUUAUGACUUCAUCGGCUUGCUCCUUUCUUUAUGAAACUUUCUUAAUGCACUUUUCGGUUAACGAGUCAACAUCAAUUUCUUUUGUUGUAAAAGGGUAUGAGGAAGGUGGCUUUCUUUUCGGAGGAAGUGUUUAUAGCCUUGUGCCUCUGCAAUCGGAGAGAUUGAGGACUGCAGCGUAGACUCUUCGGGGUUAGAUACAUUUGUGCUAAGUUAUAGCUUUUCAUAGACAACUUGUUGACUAUGUUUAGUCUUGUAGCUUACUCGCUUAUGCUAUUUUACCUACGCUUAGGAUGUUGAUCUCUCACAGUCGAGC
rnacentral:rRNA from 1 species